rnacentral:lncRNA from 1 species
UUGACCGACCUUGACUGUUAGCGAUAUUUGAGAAUCUAACCGAGCAAACCGAGGUGAGUUCACACUUUUCUACAAAGCAUGGAAAAUUCCCGGUGGGAAUGGGAAUGGGUACAGGAAUAGGGAUUCCUCGUCCUUUGAGACGUGUUCAGGAAUGUCAUUAGAUGCUAUGGAGCUUGCAUAUGGAGGUGGUCGUUGUGGGAUGCGAACUGAUAUGUCCCGUAUUUAAUAAAUAGACUUUAUGAACUUAUUAAACCUACGUUUUGGACUUUAAACUUAUGAACUAUGGACUUAUGUUUUGAACUUAUGUUUUAUGCU